rnacentral:rRNA from 1 species
UACGUAGGUGGCAAGCGUUGUCCGGAUUUACUGGGCGUAAAGAGCGCGCAGGCGGUCGAUCAAGUCGCGUGUGAAAGCCCCCGGCUCAACUGGGGAGGGUCACGCGAUACUGUUCGACUCGAAGGCAGGAGAGGGUAGUGGAAUUCCCGGUGUAGUGGUGAAAUGCGUAGAUAUCGGGAGGAACACCAGUGGCGAAGGCGACUACCUGGCCUGUUCUUGACGCUGAGGCGCGAAAGCUAGGGGAGCAAACGGG